CCUACGGGUGGCUGCAGUCGAGAAUCAUUCACAAUGGGGGAAACCCUGAUGGUGCGACGCCGCGUGGGGGAAUGAAGGUCUUCGGAUUGUAAACCCCUGUCAUGUGGGAGCAAAUUAAAAAGAUAGUACCACAAGAGGAAGAGACGGCUAACUCUGUGCCAGCAGCCGCGGUAAUACAGAGGUCUCAAGCGUUGUUCGGAAUCACUGGGCGUAAAGCGUGCGUAGGCUGUUUCGUAAGUCGUGUGUGAAAGGCGCGGGCUCAACCCGCGGACGGCACAUGAUACUGCGAGACUAGAGUAAGGGAGGGGGAACCGGAAUUCUCGGUGUAGCAGUGAAAUGCGUAGAUAUCGAGAGGAACACUCGUGACGAAGGCGGGUUCCUGGACAUUAACUGACGCUGAGGCACGAAGGCCAGGGGAGCGAAAGGGAUUAGAUACCCGGGUAGUC
rnacentral:rRNA from 1 species